rnacentral:piRNA from 1 species
UGAAACUGUAAAAAUUAUGGC